rnacentral:rRNA from 1 species
GAUGAACGCUAGCGGCAGGCUUAACACAUGCAAGUCGAGGGGCAUCGAGAGAGUAGCAAUACUUUUGUCGGCGACCGGCGGACGGGUGCGUAACGCGUAUGCAACCUACCUUAUACAGGGGGAUAACCUUUCGAAAGGGAGACUAAUACCGCAUAACAUUACUUUGAGGCAUCUUGAGGUAAUUAAAUCUUCGGAGGUAUAAGGUGGGCAUGCGUAGCAUUAGCUAGAUGGUGCGGUAACGGCGUACCAUGGCGACGAUGCUUAGGGGUUCUGAGAGGAAGGUCCCCCACCCAUGGUACUGAGAUACGGACCAGACUCCUACGGGAGGCAGCAGUGAGGAAUAUUGGUCAAUGGUCGGAAGACUGAACCAGCCAUGCCGCGUGCAGGAAGAAUGUCUUAUGGAUUGUAAACUGCUUUUGUAUGGGAAUAAUAAUAGCUUUGCGAAGUUAGAUGCAUGUACCAUACG